UGAAAUGCAAAGUCAUCUUCCCCAAGUCGCUUGGCCAGUGGGUGACUGCGCAAUAUCUCACACCCAAGUGGACUGACUCAGGUCAAACAGACUCCAAGAUAUGGACAGCCUAAGUUUGCCUCCCUGUCUAUUCCUGCUAACAAAGUCUCUCUCCAGGUCUAAAGAGAACUCCAAUUCCCAAGGCCUAAGAGACAGUCCAAACACCCAGAAAUGAGCUCAACAUGGACUGGAGGAGGAUUUCUGAUGGUUAGAUAAACACCAGCAUCCCUCGGAAACUUGUGAAACUGGUUCCCCUCUACCAGAAGGAGUCAGUGCCCUCACAUAAAGGAUAUAUGCC
rnacentral:lncRNA from 1 species